ensembl:snRNA U1 U1 spliceosomal RNA
AUACUUACGUGGCAGGGGAGGAGAUACCACUGUCAUGAAGGUGGUUUUCCCAGCGUGAGGCUUAUCCAUUGCACUCCACAUGUGCUGAUUCCUGCGAUUUCCCCAAAUGUGAGAUAUUCGAUUGCAUAAUUUGUGGUAGUGAGGACUGUUUCAUGCUCUCCCAU